AUACUAACCUUGCGCAGGGUGUACCGUGAUCAGGAAGGCGGUUGCCCCAGGCCGGGGCCGGCCAUUGCACCGCGGCUGGAUGAGCUUGGUCUGUGACUAUCCCUCGCGGGUAUGUCGUGCGUGUAAUUUUUGGUAGUUGGACUCGCGCGUCGCGCAGUCCAU